rnacentral:rRNA from 1 species
GACGAACGCUGGCGGCGUGCUUAACACAUGCAAGUCGAACGAGACGAUUGAAAGCUUGCUUUUGAAAGUCGAGUGGCAAACGGGUGAGUAACGCGUAGACAACCUGCCUUUGAGAUGGGGACAACAGUCCGAAAGGACUGCUAAUACCGAAUGUUGUAUAUUUUCCACAUGGAAGAUAUAUUAAAGAUGGCAUCUAUUUAUAAGCUAUCGCUCAAAGAUGGGUCUGCGUCUGAUUAGCUGGUUGGUGGGGUAACAGCCUACCAAGGCGACGAUCAGUAGCCGGUCUGAGAGGAUGAACGGCCACAUUGGGACUGAGACACGGCCCAGACUCCUACGGGAGGCAGCAGUGGGGAAUCUUCCACAAUGGACGAAAGUCUGAUGGAGCAACGCCGCGUGAGUGAAGAAGGGUUUCGGCUCGUAAAGCUCUGUUGUCGGGGACGAAUGUGCAGUAUUUGAAUAAAGUACUGUAAUGACGGUACCUGACGAGGAAGCCACGGCUAACUACGUGCCAGCCGCCGCGGUAA